AUUGAACGCUGGCGGCAUGCUUUACACAUGCGAGUCGAACGGUAACAGGCCUUCGGGUGCUGACGAGUGGCGAACGGGUGAGUAAUGCAUCGGAACGUACCCAGAGGUGGGGGAUAACGCAGCGAAAGCUGUGCUAAUACUGCAUGUGAUCUGAGGAUGAAAGCGGGGGACCGAGCAGCAAUGUUUGGCCUCGCGCCUUUGGAGCGGCCGAUGUCGGAUUAGCUAGUUGGUGGGGUAAAGGCCUACCAAGGCGACGAUCCGUAGCUGGUCUGAGAGGACGACCAGCCACACUGGGACUGAGACACGGCCCAGACUCCUACGGGAGGCAGCAGUGGGGAAUUUUGGACAAUGGGCGCAAGCCUGAUCCAGCAAUGCCGCGUGCGGGAAGAAGGCCUUCGGGUUGUAAACCGCUUUUGGCAGGAACGAAACGGUGUCCGCUAAUACCGGGCGAUAAUGACGGUACCUGCAGAAUAAGCACCGGCUAACUACGUG
rnacentral:rRNA from 1 species